CUGUGAGGUGGGGGGUACGCCAUCCGCCAUCCGGGGUAGUUAUGGGCGGAAGCCGGGGUCUGGUUGGCACCGGUGGAGCACAGAGCAGGCACUGACUGCAUGAGCUACCGGUUUCUCCCCACGCCGCCCAAAGCUGAGGACCAUCUUGUGAGGCUCGGGCUAUUAUUUCCAUGUUCUCAGAAGGAAACGGUCGCUAGAAGGCAGUCAGGAAACGAUUAGCGCAGGAAUGGACCAAUGGGUGAGCGAGCGAGUGGGCGUGGGAAGGGGGAGUGGAUAAGGCGCGGGGCGGACGCGGGGGUUCACGCCGGCGGGCAGGGCGUCCCGGGCGCGUGGGAACCUCCUCGCCCGCUGGGCCACUCGGCUUCCCCUGGCAAUUGGGACUGCGGGCCCGCCGCUGCUCCCCACCCAGGAGUGAGGACAGGGCAGUUAAUGGGCCUUGCAGAUGAAAGGGGCCGCUAGCGCCCAGCCUGCCCAGUAAUUAGCGCCAGUGCGAGCGGGGGGGGGCGGGCUUAUCGCCUCGGCGGCCGUGCGGCGGGAGGGCGGGGUCCCCCAGGCGGUCGCCGCCCGAGGCAGAGGCCACGGCGGUUCCCACGCUCGGCCCUGGGCCGGGGGCGUUCUCGGAUCGGCUUGGCCGCGCUCACCACCGCCGCCAAGGCCGGGCUGUAAUUAGGGUAAUUGCGCUGCUCCCUGCCUGGGGCAGCGCGGGAUGCGGGAUACGCUGCGCUGGCGCUGGCCCCGGACCGGCACGGGCAGGGGGCAGCCAGGCCGAAGGUGCCGCAGCCCCUUCCUCCGGACAGGUGAGUCGGCACACCCGGCCGGCCCGCCUGAGGGGCUCCUGGAGAAGGGAGCUGAGGCAUCUGUUGCUUCUGGGGGACACAGAUCCAGCAGUGGACAAGCCACCUGUUCUCAGCUUUGUCUUUCUGAAUGGAUAUUUUGGAAGAGUAGAUCAGACACAACAGAGCUAGCAUCCAGAAUUUCAGUUAAAAGACCUACACAAGUGGGAGGGAUAAGGGGGUUUUCUGGACCACCGAAACCUCCUUUUAAAUGUCAAGAUGUGGAGUCUGACCAAGUUGGAGCAUGGGCUUUUUUGCCAAAAGCCCUGGAGGGAGGGACCGGGUGCAGAUUUGGGCAUGUACCAGAAUAUCCUGGUGGGCUUAUUGUGACCUGAAUGGAGAUUGGGCUCCAGCCAUGAGGAUUUGGUUCAAUUGCUCUGCAGGUGAGUCCAAGAAUCUGCAUGUCUAACCAAUUCCCAGCUGAUGCUGACCUUGGAUUGCCAGUGUAGGCAAUGCUUAGUCAUGCAGGGCAGCCUCACAGAGGGAGGGUGAAGUGUCAAGGGGUUUCCAGGAGCCCAGCAACACUGUGGAGAAGAAGAGAGCAGGGGCCAGUGCAGAGUGGGUAGAGGUUGUGACCAGGAGCACAGCCAUGGGCACAGGAGGUCAAGGGGUCUGGCCAGGAGACAGGUGGGCUGUGUGCACCAGUUGCAGCUAUAGAUGAUAGGCAUCAAAAGAGGAGACAAGCUUGGGCACCUCUAGACCCAGAGACCCCUUCCUCAGCUUCCACUCUUCAGGUGGAACCUCAGAGAAAGGGCAGAGUGCAGUGGGAAACUCUCCAAAAUCAAGCCCAAGUGAGCCUGGAAUGGCAUGCUUUAGAAUUUCCUGCUGGGAAGUCAUUGAUGAGCCCCUCUGUGCCUGUUGGACAUGGGGAAGUGGCCCCUCAGCUGCAGUGUGGUUAAGAAACAUGCCACAGAGUCAUUUCCUUGAAAUGCAGCCCUGAGCCUCAGUCCCCUCUAACACCAAUGGAGGAUGCAAAUGGCACCGUCUUACAGGACUGAAGUGGCUAAGGGAGGGGGAGGAUGCAGCCGAGGGUGUAGCCCGUGCCUGGCCUAGAGCAGACAUUCCACACAAGGCAUUUAUUGCUAUUAGAGUGGUGUUUUUCUUUCAAACUUGCUUUCCCUCCUUCAGUUUUCCCUUCUCUCUUCCUUCUUUCCUCAGAUACUUACUGCCACAUACUAUGCCCCUGACACAGGUUUUGUCCUCUUGGAACCCUCAUCUUUGAAGUCAAGAAGCAAUUACAGAGUGUGGCCUCUGCUGGGCUGGGCUGGGCUCAGAGUGGGCUUUCUGGGAGAGGGAGUUCUCAUUUGGCUGGGGAUUUAGCUCAGUGGUUUCACCGCCUGCUGCUCAAGUGCAAGGACCCAAGUUCGAUCCCCGGUACCAAAAAAACCCCCAAAAAACCCCCUCAUUUAGCUGCCCUGUAGACGCUGACAACACAUCAAAAAAAAAAAAAAAAGAAGAAGAAGCUUUUAUGA